GUAUAAAAUAUAUGCACUCUCCCACUAGAGAUACGAGCUACUUUAGUCCCGUAUUUUAUUAUUGCAGGGAUAGAUAAGUGGACAGAUGCUGUCAAGCAUUCAAAUAAUCGACCUAUAAAGGGCUAGACAUAGAAAGACAUAAUUUCCCUGACCUCUCCAACACGCAGUCUAUUCUCACUCUGGAGGAUGAAAUGCAAAGACUCAACUCCAAGAAUGAAGUACCCUUGGCUGUGUACAUUUGAGUAAAGAGAGCACUAUAAAAUCAAAAACCAAUGAAAUGGUUUCCAGAACACAGAACUAUUAAGCUUAAGAAAAGGACAGAAGGAACUGAAGAGAGAGGAACUGUUUUGGAGCAUCACACUUCCACCUCAGAAGAAAUAAGGAAGGAAGGAGGAGGGUGUUCCCACGGCUCUUCAACCAGGCCGGCUCUUCAGCCUACAUCCCCAUCUCAUCAAGUAAAAGGGAUUUUUCAACUGGACCAACCAGAUGGUUUAACAGUGCACUCCCACACCAUUCAACUACGCAAGGGAGAUACACUUAACAUAUGCAGUCGUAUAACACCUACUAACAUUUUCAAACAUUAAACCUUUAAAAAAGAGUUCUAAAGAAAUAGAAGCUUGAAGUAUCAUCUCUCAAGUAUAUAGACACUACUUCAUGGUGUGGUAAUAUAUGCAUAUAGAAGCUAGUAAACACCUCCAGGAGAUGCAAAAGGAAUUAGAACUGCCACAAGGUGCAAGCAAAACCUUGAGGUGAGAAAAUCGAAUUUGGACACCGUUGAGGAGACUAUUGCAGUCAUCCAAGCUCAAGAUGGUGGAGCUUCAUCCUUGAGAAUAACCAAUGGGGAUAGAUUUAAGAGACACUUAGAGUCUGCAGCCAACAGGGCUGAAUGAGCAGAGAGUUAUGAUUCAGAAGAUCAUCUAAAAUUGAACAGCUGCCACUACUGGCAAUAAGUCUACUGCCAUUUGGUAGAUAACCUUCUUAUCACACAGAAAAAUAUCAGUACAGACAAAUAGACCGCAAAGAAAAUGAGACCAUCAGCAAAGAAGAUAAAGAAGUUUGUACAAAGCAACUUUUUAUAAAUGGAUGGCUGUCAGGCAAAAAUAAAUUUCCUGUGGACAAGACCAAGAGCAAGGCAAGAGGAAAAUAAACAUGUUUAAACUA
rnacentral:lncRNA from 1 species